rnacentral:rRNA from 1 species
AUAGCGUAUAUUAAAGUUGUUGCGGUUAAAAAGCUCGUAGUUGGAUUUCUGCCGAGGUAUACCGAUCCGCCCUUACGGGUGUGCGUCUGGUUUGGCUGAGGCAUCCUCUUGGAAAACGUUGCUGCACUUCGCUGUGUGGAACGGUGUCUAGGAAUUUUACUUUGAGGAAAUUUGAGUGUUCCAAGCAGGCGAUUGCUUUGAAUACAUUAGCAUGGAAUAAUAAUAUAGGACUUCGGUUCUAUUUUGUUGGUUUCUAGAACUGAAGUAAUGAUUAAUAGGGACAGUCGGGGGCAUUCGUACUUAACUGUCAGAGGUGAAAUUCUUGGAUUUGUUAAAGACGAACUACAG